AUUGAACGCUGGCGGCAGGCCUAACACAUGCAAGUCGAGCGAGCGGCGGACGGGUGAGUAAUGUCUGGGAAACUGCCUGAUGGAGGGGGAUAACUACUGGAAACGGUAGCUAAUACCGCAUACCCUCAGAUGUUCCCAGAUUGGAUUAGUUAGUAGGUGGGGUAACGGCUCACCUAGGCGACGAUCCCUAGCUGGGCUCAGAUGAUGACCAGCCACACUGGAACUGAGACACGGCCCAGACUCCUACGGGAGGCAGCAGUGGGGAAUAUUGGAAAAUGGGCGCAAGCCUGAUCCAGCCAUGCCGCGUGUGUGAAGAAGGCCUUCGGGUUGUAAAGCACUUUCAGCGGGGAGGCGUUACCCGCAGAAGAAGCACCGGCUAACUCCGUGCCAGCAGCCGCGGUAAUUC
rnacentral:rRNA from 1 species